UGCAUCCUACGGGGCUCAGCAUUCUUUCAUCUUCCCCCCUUUUCGAACUCCUGAUGGAGCAACGCCGCGUGGGUGAAGAAGGUCUUCGGAUCGUAAAACCCUGUUGUUAGAGAAGAAAGUGCGUGAGAGUAACUGUUCACGUUUCGACGGUAUCUAACCAGAAAGCCACGGCUAACUACGUGCCAGCAGCCGCGGUAAUACGUAGGUGGCAAGCGUUAUCCGGAUUUAUUGGGCGUAAAGGGAACGCAGGCGGUCUUUUAAGUCUGAUGUGAAAGCCUUCGGCUUAACCGGAGUAGUGCAUUGGA
rnacentral:rRNA from 1 species